rnacentral:piRNA from 1 species
UGGAUGCUUUGUCUUAUUUGUGAUAAU